GACGUAGGAGGCGAGCGUUGUCCGGAUUCAUUGGGCGUAAAGAGCACGCAGGCGGUUUGGCAAGUCGGAUGUGAAAACCCGAAGCUCAACUUCGGGCCUGCAUCCGAAACUGCCCGACUAGAGGUAGGUAGGGGAGAUCGGAAUUCCUGGUGUAGCGGUGAAAUGCGCAGAUAUCAGGAGGAACACCGGUGGCGAAGGCGGAUCUCGUGGG
rnacentral:rRNA from 1 species